rnacentral:rRNA from 1 species
CCUACGGGAGGCAGCAGUAAGGAAUAUUGCUCAAUGGCCGAAAGGCUGAAGCAGCAACGCCGCGUGGAGGAUGAAAUACUUUUGUAUGUAAACUCCUGUAAGAGGGGAAAAAUAUACAGCUAUGCUGUGUUGAUUGUACCCUCAGAGUAAGCACCGGCUAACUACGUGCCAGCAGCCGCGGUAAU